rnacentral:lncRNA from 1 species
CUCCAACCGUUUCAAUCAAAGGGAAAAAGCACGAAAAUCCCCUUUCCCAGGUGACGAUUUAUGGUGGAGAGGAGAAGGGAGAAGAACCUUGAGCUAGAUCCUUGGUUUUGGAGAGAAUGGGAAUGGAGAUGGCGGUUUUUGGAGGGAGGAAGAUGAAGAGAUGAGUCGGCUCACGAACAGGAUCCCAAAUAAAAAGAAGGAGCCCGUGGGAAGUUUGAAGAAAUUACAAGUUUGCCAUGGGGUCGACUC